rnacentral:miRNA from 1 species
GAUGUGUGUGUAUGUAUAUGCACAUGUAUGUUUAUUUGUGUGUGCAUGUAUAUGUGUUGGUAUGUGUGUAUGUGUGCGUCAUAUACAUAGACACAUAGAUGUAUG